UACGUAGGGAGCAAGCGUUGUUCGGAAUUAUUGGGCGUAAAGAGCGCGUAGGCGGCUUGGCAAGUCUGGUGUGAAAUCUCACAGCUCAACUGUGAAACUGCAUCAGAAACUGCCUGGCUAGAGUGCGGGAGAGGAGAGUGGAAUUCCCAGUGUAGAGGUGAAAUUCGUAGAUACUGGGAGGAACACCGGUGGCGAAGGCGGCUCUCUGGACCGCAACUGACGCUGAGGCGCGAAAGCUAGGGGAGCAAACGGG
rnacentral:rRNA from 1 species